GUGCGGCGGCCGUGGUCUGAGCGAGUCCUAUCCAGGUGCUAAAGCGGAGACGCAUCCCCCGACCCGAGGCUACGAUGAGCACCCCGGCCGUGCCCCAGGACCUGCAGCUGCCCCCGAGUCAGAGGGCCCAGUCCGCAUUCAAAGAGCAAAGAAGACAAAAACUGAAGGAACAUCUGUUGAGAAGAAAAACGCUUUUUGCAUACAAGCAGGAAAAUGAGAUGUUAUCCAGUAGAGGUCGGAGAGUUGUGACAUCUGAGGAGCAAGUUCAAGAAGGGACUAAAGUGCUGAAACUUAAAACAAAAAUGGCUGAUAAAGAAAAUAUGAAGAGACCUGCAGAGAGCAAAAAUAAUACAGUAGUGGAGAAAAACUUCAUUCCUUUAAAACCUUCAAAUGAACUAACCAAUUCAACUGUAGUAAUUGACACGCAUAAAUCUAAGGAUAAUAAUCAGACUCCGCAUUUGUUACUAACUGAAGAUGAUCCCCAAAGUCAACAUAUGACAUUAAGUCAGGCAUUUCACCUUAAAAACAACAGCAAAAAGAAGCAAAUGACUACAGAAAAACUAAAGCAAGAUGCUAACAUACCCAAGAAACCUGUGCUUGGAUCUUAUCGUGGCCAGAUUGUUCAGUCUAAGAUUAAUUCAUUUAGAAAACCUUUACAAGUCAAAGAUGAGAGUUCUGCAGCAACAAAGAAACUUUCAGCCACUAUCGCUAAAGCCACAAAGCCUCAGCCUGUAAACACCAGCAGUGUAACAGUGAAAAGUAAUAGAUCCUCCAAUAUGGCUGCCACUACUAAAUUUGUGAGCACUAUAUCUCAGAACACACAACUUGUGCGACCUCCUAUUAGAAGUCAUCACAGUAGUACCCAGGACACUGUGAAACAAGGCAUCAGUAGAACCUCUGCCAACGUUACAAUCCGGAAAGGGCCUCGUGAAAAAGAACUAUUACAAUCAAAAACAGCUUUAUCUAGUGUCAAAACCAGUUCUUCUCAAAAUGUAAUAAGAAAUAAGACACUAUCAAGAUGCAUAGCAUCUGAAGUUGUAACCAGGCCUGCUUCACUGUCUAAUGAUAAACUGAUGGAAAAGUCAAAGCCCGUUGACCAGCGAAGACAUACAGGAAAAGCAACUGUUGAUAGUAGAUCAGCUCAGCCCAAAGAAACCUCAGAAGAGAGAAAAGCUCGUCUGAGUGAGUGGAAAGCCGGCAAAGGAAGAGUGCUGAAAAGGCCCCCUAACUCAGUAGUUACUCAGCAUGAGCCUGAAGGACAAAAUGAAAAACCAGUUGGGUCUUUUUGGACUACCACGGCAGAAGAAGAUGAACAAAGAUUAUUUACUGAAAAAGUAAACAACACAUUUUCUGAAUGCCUGAACUUGAUUAAUGAGGGAUGUCCAAAAGAAGAUAUACUGAUCACACUGAAUGACCUGAUUAAAAAUAUUCCAGAUGCCAAAAAGCUUGUUAAGUAUUGGAUAUGUCUUGCACUUAUUGAACCAAUCACAAGUCCUAUUGAAAAUAUUAUUGCAAUCUAUGAGAAAGCCAUUCUAGCAGGGGCUCAGCCUAUUGAAGAGAUGCGACACACGAUUGUAGAUAUUCUAACAAUGAAGAGUCAAGAAAAAGCUAAUUUAGGAGAAAAUAUGGAGAAGGCUUGUGCAACCAAGGAAGAAGUCAAAGAAGUCAGUAUUGAAGAUACAGGUGUUGAUGUAGAUCCAGAAAAACUGGAAAUGGAGAGUAAACAUCAUAGAAAUUUGCUACUUCAAGAUUGUGAGAAAGAGCAAGAGAACAAAACAAAAGAUCCAACCCAUGAUGUUAAAACCCCCAGUACAAAAACGAGGACAAGUUGCUUAAUUAAAUAUAAUGUGUCUAGUACACCAUACUUGCAAAGUGUGAAAAAGAAGGUGCAGUUUGAUGAAACAAAUUCUACAUUUAAAGAGCUGAAGUUCUUAACACCAGUGAGACGUUCUCGACGUCUUCAAGAGAAAACUUCUAAAUUGCCAGAUAUGUUAAAAGAUCAUUAUCCUUGUGUGUCUUCAUUGGAACAGCUAACGGAGUUGGGAAGAGAAACCGAUGCUUUUGUAUGCCGCCCUAAUGCAGCACUGUGCCGGGUGUACUAUGAGGCUGAUAUACCAUAACAGAAAUAAAGCUCUGAUAGGGAACGGG